CCUUCAGUAGCUCAGGUGGUAGAGUAGAGUAGAGGACAGGACUGUAAAUGCUAACAAGGCCAUCCUUCAGUCACUGGUUCCAAUCCUGCUUGAAGGA